GACCUUUGUUUGCAGCUGAAGGAACGGGAGGCGUCGACGGUGCCGAGGCGUUGGCCAUCGAGGAAAGUCUUCUGAGCCAUGCGCAGCGAGCAACUGCUAUGAGUCCCAGAACGCAGAUAAGAGCGCAUAGCAGUGCCGCCAGAAUCACCACGAAAUCUGAGUCUAAAGUAGCCGGUUGUUCCGAGGACUCCGAGGUAGCAGUGGUGGGUUGGAUGGUCGCCGACGAGUUUACGGCGCCAAGAAACCUGAAAGGACGAAUCAUGUGAAGAGAGAGGAAGAGCAAUUGAAGGGGCGAGAUUUCCUUUUUCUUUCCCACUGUGCGGACAACGAUUUUU
rnacentral:misc_RNA from 1 species